rnacentral:rRNA from 1 species
UUGCGCCCUCUGGUAUUCCGGGGGGCAUGCCUGUUCGAGCCUCA